GACGAACGCUGGCGGCGUGCCUAAUACAUGCAAGUAGAACGCACAGUUUAUACCGUAGCUUGCUACACCAUAAACUGUGAGUUGCGAACGGGUGAGUAACGCGUAGGUAACCUGCCUGGUAGCGGGGGAUAACUAUUGGAAACGAUAGCUAAUACCGUAUAAUAUUGAUUAUUGCAUGAUAAUUGAUUGAAAGAUGCUAUUGCAUCACUACCAGAUGGACCUGCGUUGUAUUAGCUAGUAGGUGAGGUAACGGCUCACCUAGGCGACGAUACAUAGCCGACCUGAGAGGGUGAUCGGCCACACUGGGACUGAGACACGGCCCAGACUCCUACGGGAGGCAGCAGUAGGGAAUCUUCGGCAAUAGACGAAAGUCUGACCGAGCAACGCCGCGUGAGUGAAGAAGGUUUUCGGAUCGUAAAGCUCUGUUGUAAGAGAAGAACGGGUGUGAGAGUGGAAAGUUCACACUGUGACGGUAUCUUACCAGAAAGGGACGGCUAACUACGUG
rnacentral:rRNA from 1 species